rnacentral:rRNA from 1 species
UGCCUAACACAUGCAAGUCGAACGGAACUGUUUUGAAAGAUUUCUUCGGAAUGAAUUUGAUUUAGUUUAGUGGCGGACGGGUGAGUAACGCGUGAGUAACCUGCCUUCAAGAGGGGGAUAACAUUCUGAAAAGAAUGCUAAUACCGCAUGAUAUAUCGGAACCACAUGAUUUUGAUAUCAAAGAUUUUAUCGCUUGAAGAUGGACUCGCGUCCGAUUAGUUAGUUGGUGAGGUAACGGCUCACCAAGACCGCGAUCGGUAGCCGGACUGAGAGGUUGAACGGCCACAUUGGGACUGAGACACGGCCCAGACUCCUACGGGAGGCAGCAGUGGGGGAUAUUGCGCAAUGGGGGCAACCCUGACGCAGCAACGCCGCGUGAAGGAUGAAGGUUUUCGGAUUGUAAACUUCUUUUAUUAAGGACGAAAAUUGACGGUACUUAAUGAAUAAGCUCCGGCUAACUACGUGCCAGCAGCCGCGGUAAUACGUAGGGAGCAAGCGUUGUCCGGAUUUACUGGGUGUAAAGGGUGCGUAGGCGGCUUUGCAAGUCAGAUGUGAAAUCUAUGGGCUCAACCCAUAAACUGCAUUUGAAACUGUAGAGCUUGAGUGAAGUAGAGGCAGGCGGAAUUCCCCGUGUAGCGGUGAAAUGCGUAGAGACGGGGAGGAACACCAGUGGCGAAGGCGGCCUGCUGGGCUUUAACUGACGCUGAGGCACGAAAGCGUGGGUAGCAAACAGG